GUGAGGAAUAUUGGUCAAUGGACGAGAGUCUGAACCAGCCAAGUCGCGUGAAGGAAGACGGUUCUAUGAAUUGUAAACUUCUUUUGUGCAGGAAUAAAGUGGGUUACGUGUAACCUUUUGUAUGUACUGUACGAAUAAGGAUCGGCUAACUCCGUGCCAGCAGCCGCGGUAAUACGGAGGCUCCGAGCGUUAUCCGGAUUUAUUGGGUUUAAAGGGUGGGUAGGUGGAUUGGUAAGUCAGCGGUGAAUGUUUGCAGCUUAACUGUAAAAUUGCCGUUGAAACUGUCGGUCUUGAGUGCAAAUGAGGUAGGCGGAAUGUGUUGUGUAGCGGUGAAAUGCUUAGAUAUAACACAGAACUCCGAUUGCGAAGGCAGCUUACUGGGAUGCAACUGACACUGAUGCACGAAAGCGUGGGUAUCAAACAGGAUUAGAAACCCGUGUAGUCC
rnacentral:rRNA from 1 species